UUAGAAUAGGCGGACACUGCUGCAGCUCGGCUGUUGACUGCGACCAUGCUCGCUGCGUUGCUCCGGCGCUAAUGGAAGGAGGAGCCUCGCUAUCUAAUCAUGGACGCUGUUGCAGCUCUGUUGUUGAAACGCUGCCGCUGCACUUUCUUCUUCUAUCUUCGCUGUUGUUUGCACAAGGUUGGCCUUAGUGGUUCUGCUAAUGGGAGGAGUUCUCCUUGGCUUCUCUGCAUUGAUGAGUUUCCUGAGCUGUUCCACCUUUUACUGAACCGCUGUCAUCCCUGAUUACUGCAACCAUCACCCCUGUUUUGCUGUGCUCUGAGAACGCUGCAUCUCUGUUGAUCUCGAGGCAUUCUUUGGGCGGUGGCCUCCACUUUACUGGUAUGCUUCCUCUUUUAACUGCCUUUGAUUCUAUUUGCUCUGUGGUUUCCCUGGCUUUCUUGUACUCUAGCUUGGAUUAUAGUGCUUAGAGGAUCUGCUUUUAGAUUGUGAAAUAUUGCUGCAUUUCUCGUCUUCCAUAUAGCCCAGAUCAUGUACCCCAUGCUGCUCCAUCUC